AGGAGACAGGCGACCAGGAAAAUUUAUCGUCCCAGGAGUCAAGUCUGACCGACGACGAGUCCGCCGGAGCGGAUCGAGGCAGCCUGGACUUUCCGGAGAGAGAACAUACCUGGUGAUAGCUCCGGCUCAAUCGCAAUGCCCUCGGAAAACAGGUGACGGAAACGACAAAAGCGCCUCUUCGUCAUCCGGUAGCAGUUACUCGGCGUUGAAGAUCACAGACGACAUGUUCAAAGGCGGUAUAGAGCAGAGCAAUCCGGUCGACGAGGGGGUCACCGAUGGCGAUACAUUCGGAAGAACAACUACCGAGUGGGCAGUGCUAAAGCCCGGAGUAAAGGAGGAAAAGUCGAGGUACCAGGACCUGGUCAUGAGCCCACUUGACGUCGUCCAUGAGUCAAUCGUUGACCCCGACGAGAUGGCCGCCGACUUCGACGACGAUACAAAGCCGAG